AUCAUGUGAUGAAAUAUGCAACUACGAAUGACUGUUUUUCCAUAAAUUUUUAGUAUUCUUUUCCCUUGUGUAUUUUAAAAGAUUUUCAACCAUGUCUAAAGCACCUGCAAAAAUGAAGAAAAAGGUGCUGUUAAUGGGCAAAAGUGGAUCUGGAAAAACCAGUAUGAGGUCAAUCAUUUUUGCAAAUUAUAUUGCUAGGGAUACAAGAAGACUUGGAGCAACAAUUGAUGUGGAACAUUCACAUGUGCGCUUUCUUGGGAAUCUUGUGUUAAAUCUAUGGGACUGUGGAGGACAAGAGGCUUUCAUGGAGAAUUACUUUGCCAGUCAAAGAGACAACAUUUUUCGGAAUGUUGAGGUCCUGAUUUACGUGUUUGAUGUAGAGAGUCGUGAACUGGAGAAGGACAUGCAUUACUAUCAGUCUUGUCUGGAGGCCAUUCUACAGAACUCACCCGACGCCAAAGUCUUCUGUCUGGUCCACAAAAUGGACCUUGUACAAGAUGACCAAAGAGAUAUGGUAUGGUAAAGAAUAAAACCUCUCAAAUUUCUCAAGCUAAAAGUAUUCAAAAUAUGAUGCUGCAGACAUGUUUUUAGUUUUUAUUUUAUUGUGAGAUUUGCAAUGGGGAAUAAAUUUACAAAUUUGAACUAGAAUUUAAAAAAUUGAGUUAUUUCCCUUUUCAAUGUUGCAUUAAAAUACAUCAAUGCUGCAGCAUUUGACUUGAUGUGGAGUGCCUGAGAAACAAAACAUAAAUUUGCUUUGGCCUACGAGUUUAAAAAAAUUCAAAGCACUUUGCAAAAUAAGGGAAACAAUAAGACUGAACUGAAUGGAAAAAUUAAGUCUUUUACCACUGAAAGCGACCUUCUUGUUUUAAGUACAUGUACUUUGUGACAUUAACUUAAAAGACAGGCCAGUAAAAAUUUAGUCAAAUUCAAGGUCAAAUUGAACAUCAUUUCUAUUCAAUUAAGUCAAGCUUUAAUUUUUUUUAUAAAAGCAAACCCUCAUACUUUACUUUUAUAUGUUGCAAUUUUGUUCAAACUCUUGUUUCUAAACUGUCAGAUAUUCAGAGAAAGAGAGGAGGACUUGAAGAGAUUAUCUAAGCCCUUGGACUGUACAUGUUUUGCUACCUCUAUCUGGGAUGAGACCCUAUAUAAGGCUUGGUCUAGCAUUGUGUAUCAGCUAAUCCCUAAUGUUCAGCAGUUAGAGGCAAAUUUAACCAAUUUCGCAAACAUUAUAGAAGCAGAUGAAGUUCUACUGUUUGAAAGGGCAACUUUUUUAGUAAUUUCCCACUGUGAAAGGAAACACCACCCAGACAUCCACAGAUUCGAGAAGAUCAGUAACAUCAUUAAACAGUUUAAACUCAGCUGUAGUAAGUUAGCUGCAACCUUCCAAGGAAUGGAAGUCAGCAACAAGAACUUCUCUGCAUUUAUUGACGUCUUCACAUCCAACACUUAUGUAAUGGUCGUCAUGUCUGAUCCCACAAUACCCUCAGCAGCAACUCUUAUCAAUAUCAAGAACGCCAGAAAACAUUUUGAGAAAUUGGAAAGGGUGGAUUCCGGACAUUCUUCCAUUGCGUCACGAUAGGACUCCAUUGAUUGGUCUUCUACAAAGAAUAGCUGAUCAUCCGUUAUUCAGUGCCAAGUUUUCAGCUUCAAUCCUUUUGUGUUGACACUCGUUGAUUCAGCUGCUAAAUAUUAAAACACAUUGAGUUAACAGCUAACGAUUAUACAGUUUCUGUCAGCAUUAUGUCAUCUGUUGAGCGCGCUAUUUACUCACGUCAUUUGUUUAUUGAUGCAAUCCAAGUGUUAGGUUUCUUUUUAUUUACUGAUAAUUUAAUAUAUGAAAUAAAUUUUACUGUUAUUAAUUUGUGUACAUGUGUUAAAGAAUGUAUGGGAGUGAGUGAAUGCCCCAAAUUAGUAAAUGGACACAUACCUUGUUGUAAAAAAUGUCUUCUUUUGCUGAAAGUAAAUACAUUAAUAUCAAUGUGCAAUCUUUUGUUCUUCUCUCAUAAAGUUUUUAUUAGGAUUAAUUG
rnacentral:misc_RNA from 1 species